CUUUCACACACGUCUCCAAUUUUCCUCCAUUUCUUCUCUUCCAGCCGACUGAACUCCUCUGCCCAUUUCUCCUGCAGCUUCACCCUUUUCAUUUUUCCUUCGUUCCUGUCGCGACAACACCACCACUCCAUCUCCACCGACCCUCCCUUCACGCUGCCAUUUGCCAACCCAUGCGCCUCCGAGUCAAACGUCCUAUUGAAGCAACCUGAUGUUGACUCCUUCGCUCGUCUCUGCGCCAAUUCCAGCAACUUCGCAGCAACGUCCAACGUCCACCAAACAGCUACAACACGCCAGCAGCUCCUUCGUCUUCGUGUUGCACCCGUGCCACCACUUGCGGCCACCAAGACCUUGCCAAGCCACGCUCGUUUAGCCACCGUUUUCACCUCCGCAAAAGCAAGUCCGAAUCUCAGCUUUGGCUAAGACAUGUUGGAUCGUUUUCGGCCCGGUCCAAUCUCCUGUUGGCGUCGUCGUAAACUCGAGUUUCGGCCGCCAUCGCACUGCUAUUGCCGUGGACUCAUCAGCCAGCAAAACUGGUCCCUAGUGUGAGGAACCCAGAGCUUGAGGCGGAAGGGUCAAGAGCAUGGGUGGCUCAGAAGUUUUUUUUGGAGAUAGACCUCCUGUACUUAGAGCCUAAAGUUGGCUUCUAUUUGUAAACCAAAUUGUUUAUAAAAGCUGUGUUGAUUGAUUUGAAA